AGGAGAGAAAACUCCCAGCUUUCAAAAUUGGCAGUCCAUGAUAUGGUGGAGGAACCCAUUGCAGAAGGUGCACAUCCUGGUGUGGGUCUCUACCCUGACCUCAUGAAAAAUCCUUGCCUUUCAAGCAAAUCUAAGAACUGGCAACAGUUUCACUGAGCCAGACUGGAAAGGACUGUUUGCAUCACAAUUGCUGCUAUGCAAGUUUCUUACACUGUGGUCAGGAAGAGUUAACCAGAUGAAAGAAGGAUGUCAUAUAUUUCAACAACUAAAAAAGCAGUUGAAGUGGGAUGCUAAAAGUCUGUCUGAUGGCUAACAGAAGGCAAGAGAAAAAGGAAGAGUUGUUCAGUGCCUUUCCUGCAAAGGGAAGGGGAUCAGAUGAAGCAAGAAGCUGGAAAAUUAAAAACAGGAGUGUGGACGUAUUUCUUUUCAUGAUGGUCUGAACUAGUAUGGCUGUCUUAUAUUAAAAACUAUUUCAGCAUAAAACAUCCAAGCUCAGUUUCAACUUUUAAAGCAUACAGAAGGAAAUAUUUUCCAGUAAGGCUGUGCUUCUCCCAUAAAAGAAGAGGUAUUUUAGAAGGACAUCUCUUCAUUUGUGACUCAUUUUGCAUAGUAGUAUCUUCAUUGACUUGAGGCUGAUAAAAUAUUCUGUUUCUCUUUCAUGGCUCCAGGGCUUUUUUCCUUUUCAGAACUGGUUUGGGUUUUUUUUCUAUAAUAUCAUGAACCCUUGUUUGUUGUUCGGGUGUUUUUUUUUAUCUUGAUGUGGGAACUGCUGUCUGUUCAACCACUCUGCCUCUUUCUUCUCCCGCAUUUUUGGACUGGAAUCUUCAGUGCAAUGCCAUGGAGGGAUGUCUGCUCCAUGUAGAUGUAGAACCUUACUUUGCCUUUUGUCUUUUCCUUAUUUGCUUUGAGAGCAUAAGCAUACCUGCAUUUCCUACGUAUGAGAUGCUGAUGCAGAGUGAUGAGAGCAAAUCUACAAAUUAUAUUCUGGAGACUUCUCUGGAGUUACUAUCUAUUGAUUCUGAUACCUCCUUUUUUGUACUCAAACAAAGCACUAUCCUAAUCCACUUAUUUUGCAUGAUAAGCAUCAUGAAAUGGACUUUGCUGAUGAUUUUUGGAAGCCAUUUUAAUUCCUCUGAACUAUUUUAUCACUUCAGUCUGAAAUUACCUUUCUCGGAUGAAUUAUUCUGUGAAAAUAAUGAUAUGUUUACCAUAACUGGCUUGCUAAAUAAGUGUUGAGUCCCCUAUGAUUAAUGUGCUUAUUCUUGUCAGCAGAAUGAAGCUGUAGCCUAUGCAAAUAUGUCAGACAUACCAUGGAGCAAUUUCUAGAGCCUUCUGGAAAUCCUUUUGGUGCAGUUCUGACCUGCUCAGAGAACUUCAUCUAGGUUUAUCCCUUUUCCCAUGCAAGUGAUGAUAUUUGCAGUUCUAAGUUAGUGAAAGUUGUGCUUUAGGAAUGUUCUUCAGUUUAUUACUCCUGCUAAAAACACUGCCAGUCACAACUCCCCUCCAAUGGGAGGCACAAAAAGCAGAGAUUGGUGUAAAUAAGAACAAUGUACUGGAAACAGCAAUGACAGAAGAAAACACGCAGUAACAGCAAUAUCAAUAACAAAAGUAUACAAGAGAGAGUGAUUCCCAUGCAAAGAUGUUCACUGUGAGCCCCAAGACAAUGAGCAAAUGGUGAACAGUUUCCAACCUCCGACCACCUUUUUCUCUAUUGAAAGCCACACCUUUCUUCUCAGAAGCCAGCCAGUCCCUAAGCUCCUGCCCUGGAAAUGAUGUGAGUGCUAUGGAAUAAUCUUCUGGCCAUGUACACACAGGUCUGGGCUGCAUCCCCUCAUGACUACUGCAAAAUAAACACCUCUGUACUGGAAGGAACCAGGACAGAGUAUUGGCUUUGUGAGGCAAGAUUUUGGUAAUGGGGUCUCUUUGGAAAUGGAGGGGGCUACAAGAGUGGCUUCUGUGGGAGUUGUUGGAAGCUUCCCCCAUGUAUGGCAAAGCCAAUGCCAGCCAGCUCCAAGACAGAGCUGCUGCUGGCUGAGCCCAUGGGUGUUGGUGGUAGCACCUCUGGGGUAACAUAUUUAAUGGGGGAAAGAAAGUGGUGCAACAGUAACUGAAAGAGAGGAGUGAGAGUAUGUGAGAGAAACCUGCAGACAAUGAAUCAGGGAAGAAGAAGGUGGAGGAGGGACUCCAGGCACCAAAGCAGAGGUUCCCCUGCAGCCUGUGGUGCAGACCAUGGUGAGGCAGCUGUGUCCAUGCAGCCCAUGGAGGUGCACACUAGAGCAGAGAUCCGCCCGUGCUCCAUGGAGGACCCCAUGCUGGAGCAGGUGGAUGCCUCAAGGAGAGUGUGACCCUGUAAGAAGCUCAUGCUGGAGCAGGCUCCUGGAAGGACCUGUGGCCCCAUGGAGAGAGAAGCCCACGCUGGAGCAGAUUUGCUGGCAGGAGUUGUGAUCCUGUGGGUGACACCUGCUGGAGCAGCCUGUUCCUGAAGGACUGAACCCCACAGAAGGGACCCUGCUGGAGCAGUUUGUGAAGAACUGUGGUGUGUGAGAAGGAUUCGUGUUGGAGAAGCUUGUGAUGGACCAUUUCCUGUUGGAGGAACUUCAUGCUGGAGCAGGGGAAGAGAGUGAGGAGUCCUGUGCCAGGAUCAAUGGUCUCUUUUACUACCAAGACUGGCCUCGGGGCAUUCACCAUGGUUUUGGGACAAGGACUUUUGGAGGAGUACAUUUGCUGAAAGGGACCAGCACACACGCUGCUUGCUAGAGCCUUCACGAUGUCAGCCUUCCUAUUCACCACAAGCACAUCAUAAUUUGGACCAAACUUGUGCGGAGAUGUGACAAAGGAAAGAAGCCCAAGUGUUGCCCCGUUCUUUUAAAAAUUUAAAAGUUCUUUUAAAAGUUUUCUAUGCCUUCUGAUGUUUACAUAUUUCUACUGGAGUUUCUCACGCAUGUUCAUGUAAAUAACUAUUGUUUUGCAUUCUUCCUUGUGGGAGGAGAGAAUUGAUGGACUGUUGGUUUGACCAGUGUGGUUGGAGAGGUGGCAAUUUCAUCUUCCAAUCCACAGUCACUUUUGGAAUUCUAUAUAUUGCGAGAUCAGAAAUAAAAGUUGCUUCCUUUUGCUCUUUUGAUCUUAGUGUAAAUGCAGGAGUUAUUUUGUGUCAUAGUGCGACACCCAAGUGCUUUGCUUAUUUCAUCACUACAGACUCCCAGCAGAGUCACAGAAAUUCAGAUGCAUGAAGGUUGCUGGCUCUGCUCCAGCUCUGAGUGCCUUUCAAACAGCAGCAUGCCACAGCAGCACUAUGCCGUUACACUUCCACA